ACUAUAAACUGGACAUGUUCAAUGGGUGAUCAAGAAGGCCCAUGGCCUAGGUCAGUGACUUCCAUUGCACUUCGGAGGGGUGCUGUCCUAAGGUCUCCCUAAACGUGUGAGAGCCUGCGACAUGAUUUGUGGAAGUGGUGGCCUGCAUUGGUGAGACUUUAG